rnacentral:misc_RNA from 1 species
ACUGUAUGUGUGUGAAUCUGUGUUGUUAUUUUGAGAAAUUGCUGAAUAAAUUUAAUAUGUACAGUACAAUAUAUGUUAAACUAUAAUUGUAAUGUUUGAGUUCUGAAAAUUUGUCUCAAUAUAAAAUUCAUAUCCAUGGAGAUUAGAUUAACAUAAAUCUACAGAUGUUUCAUUUGAAAUGUACAAGUAUUCAAAAAAUUUUUCAGUGUUGUAAACGAUGAAUCAACUGCUAAUUAUACAUGUAUGAUAAUUAUUUAUAUUAACCAUGUAAGCCGAGAACUUUUCUCAUAUUAUUUCUUUGAAGAAAAGAAGAUGUAUCUUCAGUAUGUCUGUGAUGACUACUACAAGUAUUUGCAUUUUGAACCAUUGAUCUAUUAAUAUACACCCUGUAUUACCAAAAAUCUCAAGACUGUUCUAUAGUUUUAACAUGCUCUUUAUGUCACAUUCAUGUACAUUUAUUUUUAGUGAAUAUCAGAGUUUAUUUUUUUUUUAAAUCCUUUAAAGUUUGUACCUUUCUCUUCAAUUGUGUAAUCAGCUCAAUUCAUCUGUAGGGUAAUUUGAUAUGUUGUUCAAAACAUGAUAAGAACUAUAAGUGUAUAUGCAUACUAUGCAUAGAGAUGCUGUUUUUUUUUAAGUUGACCCAAUUUGCUGUUUUAACUGCUCUGUCAGAUUUGGUGUUGGUGUAGCACAGACUAAACAAGGACACAUCAAAGUACAUUAACAGUUGAAUAUGCUUUGUUUUGAAAGAUCAAGAGAAAGCAAACUUGAACAUUCCAAUGAUAGAUAUAUACAUUUUAUAAAAUACAUGAUAAUUUACAAUAAAGGAUGUAAACC